rnacentral:rRNA from 1 species
GACGAACGCUGGCGGCGUGCCUAAUACAUGCAAGUUGAGCGCUGAAGGUUGGUACUUGUCCCAACUGGAUGAGCAGCGAACGGGUGAGUAGCGCGUGGGGAAUCUGCCUUUGAGCGGGGGACAACAUUUGGAAACGAAUGCUAAUACCGCAUAAAAACUUUAAACACAAGUUUUAAGUUUGAAAGAUGCAAUUGCAUCACUCAAAGAUGAUCCCGCGUUGUAUUAGCUAGUUGGUGAGGUAAAGGCUCACCAAGGCGAUGAUACAUAGCCGACCUGAGAGGGUGAUCGGCCACAUUGGGACUGAGACACGGCCCAAACUCCUACGGGAGGCAGCAGUAGGGAAUCUUCGGCAAUGGACGAAAGUCUGACCGAGCAACGCCGCGUGAGUGAAGAAGGUUUUCGGAUCGUAAAACUCUGUUGGUAGAGAAGAACGUUGGUGAGAGUGGAAAGCUCAUCAAGUGACGGUAACUACCCAGAAAGGGACGGCUAACUACGUG